AACGAACGCUGGCGGCAGGCUUAACACAUGCAAGUCGAGCGCCCCGCAAGGGAGCGGCAGACGGGUGAGUAACGCGUGGGAACAUACCCUUUGGUUCGGAAUAACUCAGGGAAACUUGAGCUAAUACCGGAUACGUCCGUAAGGAGAAAGAUUUAUCGCCAAAGGAUUGGCCCGCGUCCGAUUAGCUAGUUGGUGAGGUAACGGCUCACCAAGGCUACGAUCGGUAGCUGGUCUGAGAGGAUGAUCAGCCACAUUGGGACUGAGACACGGCCCAAACUCCUACGGGAGGCAGCAGUGGGGAAUAUUGGACAAUGGGCGCAAGCCUGAUCCAGCCAUGCCGCGUGAG
rnacentral:rRNA from 1 species